AGUAAGGACUGCGAAAUAUUUAUUAUGGUUAAAGGGUUAUGCCAUCUUUUUAUAAAUGACCUCUUUGUAGAUCUGAAAGGAAGUGGAUUCCUCUCGUUCUCUGAAGAGAGAGAGAAAGAUACAUCUUUCAGGUAAAUUUUCAUCUGCACUAAACUCAAAAGAACCCAGAAUUUGACAAGACCCUUUUAACUUGCAGGGAUUACUUCUGUUUAAAAAGGAUAAAGAAAUCUACUGUAAAACAGAAGCAUAAUUAAGAAAGCAAUCAGCUCCUAAGAAAAAGUCUGCAGUAAUAUUAGAUUACCAAGAUAUUUCUUCAAAACUGGAGCAUCAAGCAUCAUAAAUGAAUGUUCCCAUCCUGGAGGUGAGUCUUUACAAAGGAAAGGGAAAAGAGAAAAGAUCCCUGGCUUGUUUUCCUUGACGAUUCAGGAAAUGCCAAGGCUUGAAAAAGUAUAAAGAGAGCGACAGCUUCAACUUAAUAAUGCAAGAAAUUCAGAACAAAAAGUCCAGUGCAAUGUUGGAAGUGUAAGACAUAUUUAUUUUGCCCAGGAGUGCUUAAAAUAUCAUAAGUUAAUAUAAGGUGGAAGUGAGUCCCUGGAAGUAGGUUCUGUAGAAAGAAAUAAAGUGGAACUGUUCAAUAUCUCAAGGCCUGAAAAUAUCUACAGUGGUUAAACAGUUUAAGAUAACCUUUGUGACUUUGCAAAUUUAACAGGGACUCAAGUUAAUAAAAUGAGUUUAAGCAACGCAAGUGAAUAUCAAAAAGCCCAGAGCAAGGCAAGGAACUGAACAGAAGACUGUUCCAAAAAGAGGAGAAUGAGAAACAUAACCAGAGAUGAACCUCAUAAACCUGCGUCUGAAGAGGUAGGCUCAACUCUACGAAUAUUCAUGGUACCGACUUCUAGCUUUCAGUUAGUCUCAAAGGUAUUGCAAUAUCCCUUUGCAUUCAGAAACCUGGAAGAUCUUUAUGAUGUGUCCAUUGCUAAGGAAAACAGACUCAUAGUCACUUCUUCUGGCUGUUGAAAUUGUUUUGACUAUUUUUGUGAGCUCUUGUAUUCUGAAAGGUAAUUUUCUGUGUCCAUUCUCUAAAGAAGUUAUCACCUGGCAUAACUGAUCUCCAUUUAAUAAACACCUAAGCAGGAAAGAGAUUACAGCCUUGAGCAGAACAGACAAGAUCAAUGCAGCUUUUGUCAGCCUCUCCAGGCCUCUUUAAAGCACAGAUUUGCAUCUCCUCCAGGAGAGGAACUGAGAGAACUGAAACAAAAGAAAGCUCAGUGGAUCAUAUAUUAACAUUGGCGGAAGGGCAGAAGUUAAAUGAUAUGAAGAAUAAAUUGGAUGAGGAAAGAAGUUCUGCUCCUUUAAAAUAUACAAUACUAUAUCAAGGAAGUCAGGUGAGAUUUAAGAGAUCUAGUUCUAGAACAAAAAGUUAUAUCCUACGGAGAGAUUGAAACAUAAUAAUCCAUCAGAUGUAGUAGACAUUGUAGUAUUUGUAGUUCUAUAUACUCUGUUUUGCCUGACUCUCUAAAGAACAUUUAACUAGGAGAGAGAUGAAAGUUCCUGUCAAUGUCAAGAAAAGCACAAACAUGCACCAAAGUAUCUGAAAAGAGGUAUAAAACAGACCUUCCCUCAAAAAGAGAAAUGUGAAGAGCAUUUCCAAGGAACAUCUCCAAUAUUUUGGUAAGUCUAUGAGAGGUAGGUCCCUUUAUUGGGAAGAGAACAGGUUCUUAUUUUCCUUCAUUUUACAUUUCACUUGGUGCCUGGCUCUGGGAAAUAUUUAUUAAGGUUGAAGGGUUACACCAUCUUUUUACAAAUGACCUCUUUGUGGAUCUGAAAGGAAAUUUUAAGGUUAAGAAGAAGUGGAAUCCUUCUGUUCUAUGAAGAGAGAGAGAGAGAUACAUCUUUAAGGUAAAUUUUCAUCUGCAAUAAUCUUAGAAGAACACAGAAUUUGACCAGAUCAUUCUUACUUGCAGGGAUUAUCUUAGUUUAAAAAGGAUAAAGAAAUCUGCUGUAAAGUAUAAACAUGAUUAAUAAUGCAACCAGCUUCUAUUAUAAAAUCUGGAGCAAUAUAAGAUACACAACAUAUUUCUUCAAAAAAGGAUUGUAAAGCAUCCUAAGUGAAUAUUCUCAUCAUGGAGGUGAGUCUGUAGGAAGGAAGGGAAAAGGAAAAAGGUUCCUGAUUAAUUUUCCUUGAUGAUCGGCAGGUUCAAAAUCCUAUGUACCAAAAAUACUGGUUAAUCUUUUUAAGAGCGUUCCAAAAGAGGAGAAUGAGAAACAUUAUAGAUGAACUUCAGAAACUUAGAAGAAGGUCUUUAUGGCGUAUGGAUUGCGAAGGAAAACAGCCAUGGAUAUAGCAAAUAUUCACAGCUCAACCAGGAGAGGAACGGAGUAAGUAACUAUUGACCUCCAAAAGCAAACCCUAUGGAAG